UACAGAGAGUGCGAGCGUUAAUCGGAAUCACUGGGCGUAAAGCGCAUGUAGGUGGGUAUUUAAGUCGGAUGUGAAAGCCCUGGGCUUAACCUAGGAAUAGCAUUCGAUACUGGAUAUCUAGAGUAUGGUAGAGAGAAGUGGAAUUUCCGGUGUAGCGGUGAAAUGCGUAGAUAUCGGAAAGAACAUCAGUGGCGAAGGCGGCUUCUUGGACCAAUACUGACACUAAAGUGCGAAAGCGUGGGGAGCAAACAGG
rnacentral:rRNA from 1 species